AUAGGUGGGAAGGUUGUUGGGGCAUCAGAACACAGCUCCCUCACCCACGUCGCCCAGCAGGAUUUCAGGUUUGUCUUGAUAAAACUGAUUUUUGGGGGGUGCUGCUGUUCCAUCCUCUCAGAUCCCUGCGAGAACAUAGUAGAGUUUGGAUUUGCUGUGUGCCUUGUGAUGAAUGGACACUUAGCAAUAACCAAAUUAAAUGCCAGCGGAUAAAGUGCUCCGUUGAAAACAGAUUAGCAAGGAAGAAGACAAAGAGAGACAGCAGAAAGACAGACCCCACUGUGUUGCUUUGAGCUCCAGAGAUUGGCUGUGCUGGGGAGGACCUCUUGGUUCGACUGAGAGAAACAGCCUUCUUUAGGCUGUUCACUUCAUCAGAAAAGAUUUACAGCCAUUGAGCCAUCUGAGGACAAUGCCUGACCAGCUCCAUACCAACAAGCUGCUUGUGGGAUGUGUCACAGAUGCCCCCAUAGUCCACUGCUACACUGGCACAUUUCUGUGAGGGAGAAAAAGCUCUCCAGCGCUGCCCUCCUGAGAGAAGCUAUCAGAGCCCAUCAUUAGAAGCAGUCCCUCACCAACGCCGUUGAUUGAGGAGCAGCCUCAGAAGGCUGGGCUUCUGGUGGGCUGGUCUCUAGCUACGGGGCUUCCCCACUUCUGUGAGCUGUUUACAGUCACAUACAUGCAUUGCAAGGAUUUACGGUCUCCAAAGCACUGUUCAGAAACGCAUGCAUGUGCAAUUUCUCCUCUUCAAAUUCUGUUCUUGUCUCUGUCCUCCUGUUAAGUGCAGCUGAGAAAGCACCGUCCCUUACAAUCUAGACCUAGUGAUGUGUGCCUGGCGCUGCUUAGCUCUUAAAAUAAUUCCAGCUGGAUUUGAGGAUGUGUAGUGCCACUGUGCAAACCUACCCUCCCUGAGGAGCUGUGCUGGUGCCACGAGUGAAGUCCCUUCUCUGCACUGCAUGCUUCUAAAGCAAAGAUCCCUGUCUUGUGCCACCAUUAGAUUUCACAGCAUUUAAAUAUGAGAGGUGAAUGCAACAUA
ensembl:lincRNA 4930594M17Rik RIKEN cDNA 4930594M17 gene